rnacentral:rRNA from 1 species
CGGGACGGGGUGGAGUAAUGUCUGGGAAACUAGCCUGAUGGAGGGGGGUAACUACUGGAAACGGUAGCUAAUACCGCAUAACGUCGCAAGACCAAAGAGGGGGACCGUUCGGGCCUCUUGCCAUCGGAUGUGCCCAGAUGGGAUUAGCUAGUAGGUGGGGUAACGGCUCACCUAGGCGACGAUCCCUAGCUGGUCUGAGAGGAUGACCAGCCACACUGGAACUGAGACACGGUCCAG